AUGUAGUUCAGUUGGUUAGAACGAUAGAUUUUUUAAUUGUGUGGGUUCGAAUCCCGCUAUCCCA
rnacentral:tRNA from 1 species